rnacentral:rRNA from 1 species
GAGCGGCGAACGGGUGAGUAACACGUGAGUAACCUGCCCUGGACUUUGGGAUAACCCUCGGAAACGGGGGCUAAUACCGGAUACGACUGCUGAUCGCAUGGNUGGNNGUGGAAAGUUUUUCGGUCUGCGGAUGGGCUCGCGGCCUAUCAGCUUGUUGGUGGGGUGAUGGCCUACCAAGGCGACGACGGGUAGCCGGCCUGAGAGGGCGACCGGCCACACUGGGACUGAGACACGGCCCAGACUCCUACGGGAGGCAGCAGUGGGGAAUAUUGCACAAUGGGCGGAAGCCUGAUGCAGCGACGCCGCGUGAGGGAUGACGGCCUUCGGGUUGUAAACCUCUUUCAGCAGGGACGAAGCGAGAGUGACGGUACCUGCAGAAGAAGCGCCGGCCAACUACGUGCCCAGCAGCCCGCGGUAAGACGUAGGGCGCGAGCGUUUGUCCGGAUUUAUUGGGCGUAAAGAGCUCGUAGGCGGCUUGUCCGCGUCGUCCGUGAAAACUUGGGGCUCAACCCCAAGC